UUCUUAACUAGCAAUAUCGGACUCGAGAA
rnacentral:piRNA from 1 species